GAUGAAGAACGCAGCGAAAUGCGAUAAGUAAUGUGAAUUGCAGAAUUCAGUGAAUCAUCGAAUCUUUGAACGCACAUUGCGCCCGCCAGUAUUCUGGCGGGCAUGCCUGUUCGAGCGUCAUUUCAACCAUCAAGCCCCAGGCUUGUGUUGGAGCCCUGCGGCUGCCGCAGCCUCCCAAAACCAGUGGCGGGCUCGCUAUCACACCGAGUGCAGUAGUUUACUCUUCGCUCAGGGCGUGUGGCGGGAGCUAGCCGUAAAACCCCCAACUUCUCAAGGUUGACCUCGGAUCAGGUAGGAAUACCCGCUGAACUUAAGCAUAUCAAUAAGCGGAGGA
rnacentral:misc_RNA from 1 species